GCACCACUCAAUAGUUCCAAUUCAUUGUUUUUUAUCCCAUAGGAAAGAAAAUGCUUCCAGCAAUUUUUUCCUUUCCUCCUCCGUCAUACUUAGGUCUUCACAACCUUCCACCGGAGGCUUGUAUCUGUUUUCCUCCUCCGUCAUACUUAGGUCUUCACAACCUUCCACCGAAGGCUUGUAUCUGUUUUCCUCCUCUUUAGCCAUUACUUCUUUAAUCAUAUCUUUGAUCUUCUUUAGGGGCAAUUUAAACAUGUUCGCAUCCCGCGGGAAGCGGAAAGCCAGAAAGAGAAUUUCCUCCGGUUUAAGAACCGAAAGGAGUUUAUCCAGAUUUGGUACCAAACCCGAGAAAAACCCUAAAUGUUGUCUUAAAAA
rnacentral:lncRNA from 1 species